UGUCGUACCGGCACGCGUGGGGCAUGCUGCGCGCGCUGGAGUUGUGCGUCGGCGGCGCGCUGAUCGAGACCGCGCGCGGCAA
rnacentral:tRNA from 1 species